rnacentral:rRNA from 1 species
UGUUUACUAAAAACACGGUCUCCACAAAGUCAUAAAACCAUGUAUUGGGGCUGACGCCUGCACAGUGCUGGAAGGUCAAGGAAGUUGGUGACCUGAUGACAGGGGAGUCGACGACGAUUGCUUGUUGACCCCUGUGAAUUGCAUGAAAGUAGGGUA